rnacentral:lncRNA from 1 species
GCACUGUGGGGUGGCGCAGUCACCUGGCUGAUGAGGCGGUCAGGGCGCGGCCCAGGGCCCUGGUCUGGGACGGGGGUGGGGGCAGGGACGUGACCCUCACUCCCCGGUUUGGAGUUUGGCUUCGCCUCCUGUGCGGCUCAGAGUCAGGGUAGUUAUUUUUAGCUACAAGAGGGGCUUUGCUGUAAAUAGCAAGACGAGAGGCCACGUAGACCAUUCAUACGUCCCAGCCCCGCCACCGCCUUCCCCCUGCCUGGUCCAUGGUCCCUGGGAGGCUCUUUGGUCUCCGCGAGGAGUUUGCAGAUUUCGCAUGUGGAGUGAGUUGGGCAGGCCACAGCCAGCUCUCGUGUUCCAGGGUCCCGGGUCCACAGACCUACCCGAGCACGGAUGAAAUUCUGUCUCCCCUCCUUCCCUCUCUCUCUUUCCCUCCUUUCUUGUUUUUUGCUCAACACAGGUGUGUUGCUCUGGUUCUGGAGAUGAGAGGAAGUCCAGAAUGGGUCAGGGCUGUGUUUCUUUAGGGAAGAAACCAUGCCUUGGCCUUGCAAGUCUCUAGCGGCUGCCCACGCUUUUUGGCUUGUUGCCCUGAGGAGCCCUGGCCUCCGCUUUUUUUAGUAUCAUUCAUGAUCAGAACGUUUUGAAGAAAAGAUUCCAAGAAGCAGAACUUGUUGCUCUGGGCAGGUCACUGUUUCCAUCGCGCCCUGUCUGCAGUCUCCUGAGCAGGUUCUCGAGAUACUGGAAGUACAGGAGGGGUGGCGGUUUCUCUGCAAAUACUGUGCCCUUUUCUAGAGGAGGCUGGAUUUUGGUCCUUGCGCCAGUGGUCUGGGGGAGAGGGGGUGCGGAUGGCCUCGUGGUAGGAAGUGUGGCCGCCGGGCCGGUGGUGGCUGACGGCCCUCCCGAGCCUUGAAGGUAAGUGUUCAGGCCUGGGGUUGGGGUAGAGCUGCUUGAAGCAGAGCGAAGGUGUCCCCGCUGGAUUUUUUAGUAUCCGGGCUUUGAGUGCCUGUGGUGUGGGCUGGGAUUUUGUUGUUGUUGUUGUUGUUGUUGCUAUUUCUUGGGCCGCUCCCGCGGCAUAUGGAGGUUCCCAGGCCAGGGGUCCAAUCGGAGCUGUAGCCACCGGCCUACGCCAGAGCCACAGCAACGCGGGAUCCGAGCCGUGUCUGCAGCCUACACCACAGCUCACGGCAACACCAGAUCGUUAACCCACUGAGCAAGGGCAGGGACCGAACCCGCAACCUCAUGGUUCCUAGUCGGAUUCGUUAACCACUGCGCCACGAUAGGAACUCCUGGGCUGGGAUUUUAAAGCCUCUGUGGAGCUGCUCCGCCUGGUGAAGAGGCCCUGUCACCCCCACACUGAAGGCCCCGAGCCGCCCUCCCAACUGGUCCUGCUGGGACCUCUGCUCCUGCAGUCAUUCUCCGCAGUGUCUUGCGCUUCCUUCUCAGACAUUGGACCGUGGCCUCUCCUGUUGGCUUCGUGCGGCUCCUCACCUGGAUUCCAGCCCCCGGGCUCUAUCAGGUCUGCCCUCGGGGCAUCUUUGCAGGCACCCCCCCCCCCCCCCCCCCCCCCCCCCCCCCCCCCCCCCCCCACCGCAGCCUUCCGAUCUCCGUGUCCACAGCUGUUUUUGCAGGUCGCUUAGGAGGAGCCCUUCCCCAGUCGGAGGAGAGCUCACCUCCCUUCACUCCUGGCCCCGCUCAGUCAGUGUGUGGUCCUCACUUGAGUGUGUGCGUGUUGUGUCUGCAUUUCAUCCAUCUUCUUCCAGACCUCCCAAUGUCAUAGCAGAAUUGGCAGUGGGCAUUUCCUUAGCUGGUCUGAGGAAGAAUCCAGGAGAAUAGGGAGUCAUGACAUAGUAUUGAGAGGUUUCAGAACCAGCUAAUUUGUGUAUUGGAAUCUAGUGGCCUUUUUUUUUUUUUUUUUUUUUUUGCGGCCAUAUCUUCUGGGAACCUCCAUAUGCCCAACGGGCGGCCCUAAAAAGACAAAAAGACUAAGCCAGCUCACAUUGGGUAGGUUCUUGGUGCUGCGUUCUGGGAACUUGAGAGGAGCAGGGCCCAGGACAGUGAUAAGAACAGUGCAGAAAUGGGCCGUGGGCAUCAGUAGCCGUGGUGCUUUUUAAGAGGCUUGCAUUACAUCCACAUGAAUUGGAGACAGAAGAAAGGAGAAAUUCAAAAAAGCAGUGACUGUAGAAUAAAUUUUGGAAUCGUGUUGCCAGUAGGGAAUGCAUCCAUUAGGGUGAGCCCGUUACUCGCUCCCAGGAGCCCUGCUGUCGCACAGUUGGCACCAGUGCUGGGUAUACCCGGUGACUUGGCGCAUUACAGGUGAAACUAAUUGUCCGAAAUUGCUCACAAGGAGUUUGGAGAAGAGAAAUGAAAGUAAGAUGAACUAAGGGGGACGGCUGUGCGUAGGAUGCAUCAGGUAUGUUCUUGCUUAGUGGGAGGCUCAGAGGCGCCUUUCGCGGGGGAAGGACCUCGGGAGUGUGUCCGGCCAGGCGCAGAGGCAGAAGUGGCCAGGCGUCCGCCCCAGGGAGCAGGCAGGACCAGCAGGGCCCGAAUGAACAAGGGCUGGGGCUCACGCGGAUGAGCUUGCGCCGGCUGAGGCAGGUCGCGAAGCACAAGGAAGGUUUGUUUGGCAAGAGAGUUGAUGGUCCUGAGGUGUGUGCUCCAGACGGUUUCCUCGACUGUGGGUGCGCUUAUGGUAGCUCAGAGUGGGGGGUCGGGAAGCUAGACGCGAUGUGGAAAAGGAUUGGAGAGCAAGAGCGUAAAGCAGGGUGUAUCAGGAGUUGCCUGGUGCCCUGGCGAGUAAGGAUCCGGCAUUGUCACUGCUGUGACUUGGUUCGAUCCCUGGCCCUGGUGAGUGCAGCCAAAAAAA